GGGCACCUGGUGUAGUUGGUUAUCACGCCCGCUUAGCAUGCGGGCGGUCCCCGGUUCAAUUCCAGGUGUGUCCA
rnacentral:tRNA from 1 species